rnacentral:antisense_RNA from 1 species
GCUCCUGCUGUUUCAACCCAUUCCUUGGAUGGUGCUGCCUCCAAGUGUUCGGACCUUAGCCCCAGGUGGUCUCAUUCUCCACCAGUAUCCCCCGCUCCAACUCCCUAAAGUCCGACCCGCCCAGGCCUGGCUCUAUGCCUCCAGAUGACGCCCCGGGAGGCCAGAGUGCAGGGCCGGCCAGAGGGAGUCACAGCCCAGCACCGAGAGGCAACUCGGCAGCUGGCGGGGCCCGGGCUCGAACCCACGGACUCACCCAAACCGAGGUGACCGUCGCAUGC